GACGUAGGAUGCGAGCGUUGUCCGGAUUUAUUGGGCGUAAAGGGCUCGUAGGCGGCCAACUAAGUCAGACGUGAAAUCCCUCGGCUUAACCGGGGAACUGCGUCUGAUACUGGAUGGCUAGAGGUUGGGAGAGGGAUGCGGAAUUCCAGGUGUAGCGGUGAAAUGCGUAGAUAUCUGGAGGAACACCGGUGGCGAAGGCGGCAUCCUGGACCAAUUCUGACGCUGAGGAGCGAAAGCCAGGGGAGCAAACGGG
rnacentral:rRNA from 1 species